UGAGAUCUCACUGGAACCUUGAGUUCCCUGAAGGGCCGUCGAAGACUACGACGUUGAUAGGUUGGGUGUGUAAGCGCUGUGAGGCGUUGAGCUAACCAAUACUAAUUGCCCGUGAGGCUUGACCAUAUAACACCCAAGCAAUU
rnacentral:rRNA from 1 species